rnacentral:rRNA from 1 species
GGACGAACGCUGGCGGCGUGCCUAAUACAUGCAAGUCGAACGCUUUUUCUUUCACCGGAGCUUGCUCCACCGAAAGAAAAAGAGUGGCGAACGGGUGAGUAACACGUGGGUAACCUGCCCAUCAGAAGGGGAUAACACUUGGAAACAGGUGCUAAUACCGUAUAACACUAUUUUCCGCAUGGAAGAAAGUUGAAAGGCGCUUUUGCGUCACUGAUGGAUGGACCCGCGGUGCAUUAGCUAGUUGGUGAGGUAACGGCUCACCAAGGCAACGAUGCAUAGCCGACCUGAGAGGGUGAUCGGCCACACUGGGACUGAGACACGGCCCAGACUCCUACGGGAGGCAGCAGUAGGGAAUCUUCGGCAAUGGACGAAAGUCUGACCGAGCAACGCCGCGUGAGUGAAGAAGGUUUUCGGAUCGUAAAACUCUGUUGUUAGAGAAGAACAAGGAUGAGAGUAAAAUGUUCAUCCCUUGACGGUAUCUAACCAGAAAGCCACGGCUAACUACGUGCCAGCAGCCGCGGUAAUACGUAGGUGGCAAGCGUUGUCCGGAUUUAUUGGGCGUAAAGCGAGCGCAGGCGGUUUCUUAAGUCUGAUGUGAAAGCCCCCGGCUCAACCGGGGAGGGUCAUUGGAAACUGGGAGACUGA